UUUGCUUUUAUAUGAUAAUUAUUUUGCUUUACAAAGGAAAUAUGCUUACAAAUAUAUUAAGGUGGUUUUUAAAGAGCAGUAUUUAUAGAAAUCCAGUCAGUGCUUGCCUUUACUUUUGCCUCCUGAAAGCCCUCGGCCUGAAAGUCAGUCAUGGCUCUGGACCCCAUUGCAUGUGCCUUGCAGGGCAGGAUUGUGCUGGUCAUUUCGUGUGACCUGGGACAGUGCUCUGCAAACUCCUGUGACGAUGCCUCUCCAUCGUGAUCCCUGGGCCGCUUCCACCACGGUUCCUCCACUGCGUGUGGAAAGCAUGCCCCGGGCCGUGUGCUUGCUGCUUCCUGCGCUGGGAACGUUGGUUCCUGUCCUGGUUGGGGGGACGUGCAGGUAGCUGUCGCUCCCGAGGACGGCGCUGCUUGCCGACCUGUCCUUGUUCACGGAGGGAUAGAGCUGGUCAGCUAAAUAUGGAGAUGAUGAUGAUGGACCUUCCUUACAGGACUGCUGGGAAGAUGAAAUGAGAUACUUGAAAUAUAAAGUGCUUAUCAGUUUCUGGCCCCAUAAUAAACCCGCAAUAAAUGUGAC